UUCAAUACCCAUCUGAGAUGUGUAGAUCGUACCAGCUAAUUUCAAUUUCUAGAUUGAAUCUUGCAGAAAAGGUAACUUGCAUGGUAUAUCUUUCAAGAUAUUUCUAUUCUAUCAUACAAAUAAUCGCAUUUUAAUAUUUACAAAACCCUAAAUGUUUAUAAUGCGUAUGUAGACUCAACAAUCUGCCUAAGUCCGAUUCCAGUAUAGAUCUUCCUAAAUAGUUAAUUCGAAAGCACAUGCAGUACAUUUUUGUUUAAGAGCUGUAUCUUAGUCAGUAUUGGUUAGUAUGUUUGUUAGAUUCGACGUUUUAAUAUCCAAUUUGCUACAAAUUUCAUUCAAUUUCUAUGUUGAAUUGUUCUGAAUUGCAUUAUUAUGUUAAUGCAACAAAAAUUCAUCAGCAUUCCUGAAUUAUUAAUUCUGUUUUCUGAGUGUUAAAAAAAAAGUCUUUAUACCAAAAAAAAUCUAUUUGUUGUUUUGUUUGUACUGUGUGUAAUUCUUGCAACUUGCAAUUUGCCAGUUUUCCAGUAAUGGCAACGCCACAUGUAAAUCUGUCAUGAAGGUAAUACAAUAGGCUUUCUUGAUCUCUGUUUUACAAAUUAUACAUCCAUGGUUGGCUGUAUCUUAGUCAGUAUUUGUUAGUAUGUUUGUUACAUCCACAUGUUGUAGACUGUUACUAUUUUGCAAUGCUUGCUCACCUUCAUAUUAUAUAGUUAUUAAUUAGGUGUUUUUAAAUGCUUGGCAAAAUCAAAAAGGGAAAUAAUAUUGUUCUAGUUUGCAUAUAUUUUGAAGAAUUUGUGGAAGAGAGAAUAUUCCUGUGGACUGUAAAGUUUUUCCUGCAGAGCAGUUACUCACAGACGGAAAGCAGAGCUCAAAAUCAUUAAAAAAUAAAGACAAAGUCAAUACAUUAUAAGACAUUUAAAGCUAUAACAACAGGCUAAAUGCAUACAGAUUCAACAUAGUUUGCAGCAGUCUUGAAGGUAUACUUAAGCACAAAUCAAGGAUAUGAAGUGCAUUGCAAGCACUGAGUGACUAAGGUUCAUUUAGGCACAGAUUAUGGAUAUGAAGUACAUAUUUUGCAGAUUUUAUGGGAAAAUACACAUUACAGACAGCAGCAAGCACUAUGCAUAUGUGAGAUGGGACUAAAAUGUAGGAGAGCAGCAAACAGUACACCUUACAGAGAGGAGCAAACAGUAUACAUAUGUGAUAUGAGACUUAAAUGUGGGAUCAGAGAAAGAAGAUGAAAUGGGAGAUAGAGUUUGCUGGAGUUGAUCACUGCUUGUUUAUAACUCGGUAUAUAUGAAGCCUUUACAGUGGAAAGGCUUCCAACCGUUAAUGAAUGAAUCAUUAAAUUCACAUUGGACAUGUAAACGUCCAAAAAGUAUGGGAAAGAGUGAUUGUAAUUAUUGUAAUAUAUUUAAAUUGUAAUAUUGUAGUAUGUAGUAUAUAUGUAGUAUAUAAAUAUAGAUACAGAUGUAGUAUAUAUAUAUAUAUAUAUAUAUAUAUAGAUAUUAUAUAGAUAUGGAACAAUUACCAAUCACUGAAGAAUAAAAUUAAACCCUUCGUUUCUUUAUUGUUCAGUGAUGGUAAUCGAUCCAUUUACAUGGCGGGAAUAGUAAUAAUUUUGUGCAUUGA